UGGACCUGCUGCAGAUAUUUGGAGCCUCGGAUGCACCGUUCUAGAGAUGCUUACCCGUGAUUUACCGUAUCCUAACAUGGAAUAUGCACAAGCUUGUUAUAAGAUUGGCCAACGCGAACCACCUACAGUUCCAUUCUCCUUGUCUGAAAAUGCCCGUGAUUUCAUUAGCUUGUGCGUGAAAGUAGAGCCUGCACAUCGUCCCACUGCUUCUCAACUGUUGGAUCACCCGUUUGUCAUGAAACCUAGAUAGACGAGGUUCCUAAGUAAUAAGGGUUUGAUUUCCACGCAAUGCAAAUAAACAUCAACGGCGCCGAUCAUUCCCGUGGCCCAUCUGUGCUCCCUGGAUUUAUUCAAUGCCCGGUUGGAAGCUUCUAUAGGACCAGAUUGACCACCACAAGGUGAAUAAAAAUACUUAGACACCUAAGCUAUUCGCCAGUAUGAGACUUAUAAAACAUCUAGGCGAGGUUCUCUUGGUUUAUUUCAACGUUUAGAAAUCUUAUCUGUCCAUAUUAGCUGCUUAUUUCCUAUUUAUUAGCUGCUUAUUUCCUAUUUUUACAUUUCAAUUCCAUACUUCUUGCACA